GUCAUGAUAUUAGAAUGAAGGCCUUUAAAGAGUGAGCAGUCAAGGGCAAAGCCCUUGUAAUUAGGAUUAGUAGGUUUUUUGUUUUUGUUUUUGUUUUUGUUUUUGAAGAAACUUCAGAGAGCUAGCUGGUCCCUUCCACUAUCUAUUAGUUGCAAGACAAGAACCCAGAAAGAAGUUGGUGGUGAGCUGUUGGAGUCUCCCCAACACCAAAAGCAAAGAAACUGCUGAGUGGAGAACGAAAAAAUCUGGAGAAUAGAGAAAAGGAGAAACUGUCAACUAUAAGUAACUUCUAAAGAGACAGACAAAUGAAUGGGGGACUGUAGUGGUCACUUGCUUGCAUGGUGGAUGAAUAAAGAAAGUAAUUGUAGUUGUGCUCACUCCUCUUUCCCCCUGUUGCUUUCAGAGUGCCCAAUUUAGAAAUCUUUGCAAAAGUUCUGGCCAGUAUACUUGUCCUUUAUGGUUAAACCAAGAUGAUUUCAGAAUCUACUGCAGAUUUUUGGAAUCCUGGAAUACUGUCCCCUGUUCAAGCCAUUGUUCCCUUCUCCAAAUCCUAAGGACUAGGGGAUCAUAAUUUAGGCUUCAUAUCAUACGAUGUUACCCUUCUUUAGUCCAUUUUAUUGUUGCUGAUAACACAAUACCACAGACUGGUUAAAUAAUAAAGAAAAGAGUUCUCUUUGGCUCAUGA